CCGGAUGAAGCUGGCAGGAGAGAUCUGAAAUACAGACGCCGAAGGAGAAAUUCCUUGAAAUACGCUUUUCAAGGAGGGAAGCUCUCAGGCAAAAGUACUGCUAGAAGACGGGACUCUGGAGAGUUUCUUGUAAAAGAACACCAAAGGGGAAGCCGAGAUACGGCGAAUCUCUCAGGUUAAAGGACAGAGAA
rfam:Desulfosporosinus meridiei DSM 13257, complete genome.